rnacentral:rRNA from 1 species
UACGAAGGGGGCUAGCGUUGUUCGGAUUUACUGGGCGUAAAGCGUGCGCAGGCGGUUAUGCAAGACAGAUGUGAAAUCCCCGGGCUCAACCUGGGAACUGCAUUUGAUACUGAGGAGCUUGAGUCCGGGAGAGGUGAGUGGAACUGCGAGUGUAGAGGUGAAAUUCGUAGAUAUUCGCAAGAACACCAGUGGCGAAGGCGGCUCACUGGCCCGGUACUGACGCUGAGGUGCGAAAGCGUGGGGAGCAAACAGG